rnacentral:rRNA from 1 species
GACGAACGCUGGCGGCGUGCUUAACACAUGCAAGUCGAGCGGUAAGGCCCUUUCGGGGGUACACGAGCGGCGAACGGGUGAGUAACACGUGGGUGACCUGCCCUUAGCUCUGGGAUAAGCCUGGGAAACUGGGUCUAAUACCGGAUAUGACUCCAUGACGCAUGUUGUGGGGUGGAAAGCCUUGUGCGGCUAGGGAUGGGCCCGCGGCCUAUCAGCUUGUUGGUGGGGUGAUGGCCACCAAGGCGACGACGGGUAGCCGGCCUGAGAGGGCGACCGGCCACACUGGGACUGAGACACGGCCCAGACUCCUACGGGAGGCAGCAGUGGGGAAUCUUGCGCAAUGGGCGAAAGCCUGACGCAGCGACGCCGCGUGGGGAUGACGGCCUCGGUUGUAACGUACUU